UACGUAGGGUGCAAGCGUUAAUCGGAAUUACUGGGCGUAAAGCGUGCGCAGGCGGUUAUGUAAGACAGAUGUGAAAUCCCCGGGCUCAACCUGGGAACUGCAUUUGUGACUGCAUAGCUAGAGUACGGUAGAGGGGGGAUGGAAUUCCGCGUGUAGUGGCGAAAUGCGUAGAGAUGCGGAGGAAUACCAGUGGCGAAGGCGGCCUUCUGGGGACUCA
rnacentral:rRNA from 1 species